AUUAAACGCUGGCGGCAUGCCUUACACAUGCAAGUCGAACGGCAGCACGGGAGCGAUCCUGGUGGCGAGUGGCGAACGGGUGAGUAAAGUAUCGGAACGUGCCCAGUCGUGGGGGAUAACGUAGCGAAAGUUACGCUAAUACCGCAUACGAUCUAUGGAUGAAAGCGGGGGAUCGCAAGACCUCGCGCGAUUGGAGCGGCCGAUAUCAGAUUAGGUAGUUGGUGGGGUAAAGGCUCACCAAGCCGACGAUCUGUAGCUGGUCUGAGAGGACGACCAGCCACACUGGGACUGAGACACGGCCCAGACUCCUACGGGAGGCAGCAGUGGGGAAUUUUGGACAAUGGGCGCAAGCCUGAUCCAGCCAUGCCGCGUGCAGGAUGAAGGCCUUCGGGUUGUAAACUGCUUUUGUACGGAACGAAAAGGUUUGACUUAAUACGUUGGACUCAUGACGGUACCGUAAGAAUAAGCACCGGCUAACUACGUGCCAGCAGCCGCAGUAA
rnacentral:rRNA from 1 species